AAAAAUUAUGUUAGAUAAUUUGGAUAUUAAUCUAAUCCAACCAUCAUCAAAACAUAGUGGUCAAAUGGGUAUAAUUCCUACCUUUCACUGCAAUAGGAAAUAUUUGUGAAUGUUCGAAGUCUAGUCUACUAAAAAUGUAAAUGUCCUCUUCCUAGUCAAUUUUCUAGCAUCCUUACAAUUGUGACUUACCCAGGCAGGCUGAACCUGUGUUGGUUUUAAGAGCAGCUUCUAGGCUAAAUGCAUUGAGUAACAGAAAUGAGAGGAAUGACAUGGUAGCAACUCUGUCCCUUAAGAAAGCAGUGAUAUGCACCAUGAGAAACUAUAGUCUGCCCACUGGAAUUGAAGAAAAAUCACUGCUGUUGUUAUUGUGAAACAGGAGGAGACAGGGGAUUACAAGUUAAAUGAGAUUUUUCCUUCUAGAAUUGAAGAGCAAGUUAAUCCAAACGAUAAAUUGGAUGGACUUUCUUUCAAAAUUGUGGGCUUCCCAUUCCUGCAAGUGUUCAGACAACAGAUGGACAGAAAUCUAUGGGAAUCCUGUAAUGGGGAGAAUUUGCACCAGGUGAGCUCUAAGCCCUGUCUAAUGCUGAGAGUCUGUGGUUCUAGAAACCAUAUGGUGAGGGCAUUAAAAACAGGACCGAGAGAAGAGGGAUACUGUUAAUCCCCCAGUUUUCUUAAAAUUUGUCUCUUUUUUGCUGGCUCUUUGGAAAGGGCAGCCUUUUUUUUACAACACAGAUGGUAAAUUGAACUGGUAUUUUAAAGUUUAUAUAUAAUCUGCUAGCCUGUUUCCUAAGCUUGUUUCUAUACUAUUGUAGUAAUCAUUUUAAAACCAUUAAUAAUUGUGUCUAUUAAAUAAAUUUCCAAAUGUUCUGAGGCAGAGUGUCAGAGAUGAAGCAUUCAAGAUGUCUAGAGCUUGGAAUGAAGACUAUGAAUGACAUUCACUUUGUGGCAGAAGGGAAGAGCAUAGGAGAUUAUUCCCCAGUUCUCUUGAUUUCUACCUGAUGAUUUACAGUGGGAAGAGAAAGAAUGGCAAUUCAUGACUAUAUUCCACAGCCCAUUUGAACUAUCAUGCAUAGGCAAUCUAGAACCAGCUCUUUACCUUGGGGACCUGAGAAGAAAGCUCUUGCAUGCUAUUGCUUUCUAUCAAUGGCUGGUGACAGUGACAGUGGUGAUGAGAAGGUUGCAGAAGCCCUGGGCUCUGACAUUGCUGGUGGCGAUAGGAGAAGAAGGGCAGGAGUGAAGCCUCAGAUGCUGGACUUGCCCAGGGAUGCUUACGUUUUAUUCUGUAUUUGCAUAGCAAUUAAACAACUUUUAGUAUUAUUCUAACCACUAAUUACUGCGACAUCUUGAAAGCCAUUUAUAAGAAUUUAGAUUAAAACAAUAUUUAUUAGAUAUCCAUUCUUUCAAAAUCAACCAGGCUAAGGACUUCUGAUUCUGGACCAAGCUAGAG